rnacentral:tRNA from 1 species
GGAGAGGUAUCGAAGCGGUCAUAACGAGGCGGUCUUGAAAACCGUUUGGCUUAACGGCCACGUGGGUUCGAAUCCCACCCUCUCCGCCA